rnacentral:rRNA from 1 species
AUACCAGCUCUCCGAGUGGUGUGGACGUUUAUUGGGCCUAAAGCAUCCGUAGCUGGCUGAACAAGUCCCCUGUUAAAUCCACCGACUUAAUCGUUGGCGUGCGGGGGAUACUGCUCGGCUAGGGGACGAGAGAGGCAGACGGUAUUCUCGGGGUAGGGGUGAAAUCCUAUAAUCCCGGGAAGACCACCAGUGGCGAAGGCUGUCUGCUAGAACGCGCCCGACGGUGAGGGAUGAAAGCUGGGGGAGCGAACCGGAUUAGAUACCCGGGUAGUCCCAGCUGUAAACGAUGCAGACUAGGUGUUUGGACGGCCACGUGCCGUUCUAGUGCCGCAGGGAAGCUGUUAAGUCUGCCGCCUGGGGAGUACGAUCGCAAGAUUGAA